ensembl:lncRNA
CCCUACCUGUAACUAAUCAGCUGUCUCCCAGUUGAUGAGAUAAGGCUAACAAGCAGCUUACUUAAGGGAGGAGCUGCUCUGGAGCUGAGAGGGAUGGGUCAUGGUGAGGGUAGGGCUUUGUUGUGUGGAACUGGGUGAGCUGCCUGGUGAUGUGGUGAGCUGGGAGCAGUCAGAAGGUUUCUCCCUUACUUCGUGUGUGUGUGUGGCUGUGCAUGUGGAGGAGAGAGGGAGAUGGAACAUGUCAUGAGCGUCAUGUUUGUUAGGUGUAGAAAUAGCUCACUCCUUCAUGUUUUUUCCAUCUUAAAAGCUCAUAUUUGCUACUUUAAAUAUCCUGGUAGCUUGCACAGGAUACAGACAUGACAGGUAGAAGAGCUGGACUGGGCCAUGCUCCACAGGGUUGAGAAGGCGGCACUGUCCUGUGAAAACCACCACCCAGACCAACAGUGAUGUGGCCUGAGGGCCUGCUCUGUUCCUCUGCAAGCAUGAUGGGACAGUGGGCUCUGGGCUGCCUGCACUGCUAAUGUGCAGCAUUAGCAUGGAACAGAAGAAAGCAACCUGCUGAAAAUGAAAUCUGGCAGAACCAAGCUAAAGCAGUACCGCUGGCCAUCAAAGCUCGGCCUUACAGCUGCUUUCUCUCCUCCUCAUGAAGUGCAGCAAAUGUAACUCAACGUGGCAGCUCUGUAAGGCAGAGAGAGAAGGGGCAGUCAUAGCUGUUUACAGAUCGGACCUUCUCCAUUCAUAGUUUGUCCAUGCAGCAAAUGGCACUGAAUUAUUCAAAUCUUUUUGGAGUUAAUUUGUACUGGGUGACUGGUGUAUUGAUGUAACUGAAGUGGUUCUUGUUUUGUGAAAUGGAGAGGGGAAAAAAAAUAACACAGCGAUGCUAGCUGCAAACUAUAACAUGCUUUGGCAAUACCUCUGUCAGCUUCUUAAAGUCCUAAACUACAUGAUUUGUUGAGCAGCCCAAGAGGAAGGUAAAUGCCCAUUUUACAGGCAGGGAAAUGAGGGUGUUGAAGUACUAAAGCAUUGGCUACCAAAGCAACCUUCUCAAAGUCCUUUUUUUCUACUAAUCCAUCAGAAUUGUGAUGAAAAACCAGAGCAUUUUGGUCCUCAUCUUGAUUUUAGCCAUAAUUUUCAUGCCUGUUUUAGAAGUGCUUACAACUACAUGGUCCCCUCUAGAGCCUUGCACCAGAAAUUCCGUGUGAGUAGGAAAACAAUGAUGAAACAAAGCACUGAGAAAGAACCCAAGUCUUGGAGGUUUUGAAUGAAAUUCAUCUGAAUAUUUUGAAACUGUAUGAGAUAGAUACAAACACGACUAACAGGCUUCCAGUAUUCCCUGACCCAUUCAAACAAGAAUAAGGACCUAAUCCUAAAAUCUACAUUCCCCAUCUAGAUGCAGGUAUACAUUCAAGCCCCUUGCAGGAACAUUUUCCUUGUUGACCUGGCCUCACCCAGGUGUUUCACACUGGCCCUCUCUUGCUCCAUACUGAGUCCCUGCCUCACACUGUGCCGAUCAAAGCUGCACACGGAGUACCACCAGAUUGCUCAGCAAGUUGUGAACACCUCCAAGUGUUGGCUGGAAUGAAGCUGAGCCAAUAAGAAAUGGUUUAUUGCAGCAUCUAACCUAAAGUUGUCUGCUACAAUUAUGAGGACUAAACUUUACACAGCUGAUGGAUAGUAAACUAAUUAAACAAGAAGGGCCUGACUUGACUUUUUCUGUGCAGCAGGAUUUUCGAACUACUUUGAAGUACAGUGCAAUGCAUAAGUUUGAGCCCUACUUUUUUUUCUGGUAUUUGUAGAUUGAUAGAUCAGAGAAAAUCUCCCUUCAUAAUGCCAGUCCCAGCCCAAUUCCCAACUGAUGUGUAUCCCAAGCCUCAAGAUUCAAGGGGAUCAUUAAAGAAAUUUUUAAACAGGAUCAACUACUGACAUAUCUGCAAAGUUUUAAAGUGUAAGGGCAGUGAGAAUUUUUAUGCUGCUUUUGAAUUUCCAGUAUUGGCUUAAACUCUGUGAGAAAAGUAUAGACAGUAAUUAUUUUGCAGUACAUUUGACCCACUUGUACUUGUGAAGCCUAGGAAAAUCACUUGGCUCAAUAGCAAAGUCACUGACUGUGCAUUACACAUAAUUCUUAUUAAGAGAAAAGAGAAUACCAGAAGCUUCAUCCCAUCAAGUAUGGCUCCACAAUGAGCUCAUUUUCCUUACAAUAAGAAAAUAAGCACAAAAAUACUCUUCUGUAUGUCAUCUCUUAGCAGAGAAGCCUUUUUUACAGGAACCUGAAAGCAAUAGUGUUUUCUGCAAGCAGUAUCCUACUAUGCUGUAGCUUCUGCAUGCUUGAUUGUAGUGUAGGUGGAAACUCCUACCAGCAAUAAACCAA